rnacentral:rRNA from 1 species
GGGGGAGGCUACCAUGCAAGUCGAACGGUAACAGGAAGAAGCUUGCUUCUUCGCUGACGAGUGGCGGACGGGUGAGUAAUGUCUGGGAAACUGCCUGAUGGAGGGGGAUAACUACUGGAAACGGUAGCUAAUACCGCAUAACGUCGCAAGACCAAAGAGGGGGACCUUCGGGCCUCUUGCCAUCGGAUGUGCCCAGAUGGGAUUAGCUAGUAGGUGGGGUAACGGCUCACCUAGGCGACGAUCCCUAGCUGGUCUGAGAGGAUGACCAGCCACACUGGAACUGAGACACGGUCCAGACUCCUACGGGAGGCAGCAGUGGGGAAUAUUGCACAAUGGGCGCAAGCCUGAUGCAGCCAUGCCGCGUGUAUGAAGAAGGCCUUCGGGUUGUAAAGUACUUUCAGCGGGGAGGAAGGGAGUAAAGUUAAUACCUUUGCUCAUUGACGUUACCCGCAGAAGAAGCACCGGCUAACUCCGUGCCAGCAGCCGCGGUAAUACGGAGGGUGCAAGCGUUAAUCGGAAUUACUGGGCGUAAAGCGCACGCAGGCGGUUUGUUAAGUCAGAUGUGAAAUCCCCGGGCUCAACCUGGGAACUGCAUCUGAU